UACAGAGGUGGCAAGCGUUGUUCGGAAUUACUGGGCGUAAAGGGCGCGUAGGCGGCCAUCUAAGUCAGACGUGAAAUCCCCCGGCUUAACCUGGGAACUGCGUCUGAUACUGGACGGCUUGAGUAUGGGGGAGGGAUGUAGAAUUCCAGGUGUAGCGGUGAAAUGCGUAGAGAUCGGGAGGAACACCAAUUGCGAAGGCAGCUCGCUGGGACGUCACUGACGCUGAGACGCGAAAGCGUGGGGAGCAAACAGG
rnacentral:rRNA from 1 species